GUGCUUACCUGGCAGGGGCAAUACCAUGAUCAAGAAGGUGGUUUGCUCAAAGUGAGGCCCAGCUAUUGCAGUCAGGCUGUGCUGAUCUUUGCAAAUUCUUCAAAUGCAGGAAUCUCGACUGCAUAAUUAUUGAUAGUAGGGGACUGUUUGCGCUCUCCCCUU